rnacentral:lncRNA from 1 species
AGACUUCAAAAACCCUUAAAAUAUCAUUUUAAUUUUAAAUUACUAAAAAGUAGUAGGAUUUUCCCUUAGUAAAGUACUUAAGCAUAGCUGAUGUAGAAAAUUAUCUGUUGUAGAUUAUGUUCUGGUUUUAUCAUACUCCAAAUAUUUUGGGGCUGGGGUUGUAUCUCACUGGUGGAGUGCUUGCGUAGCAUGUACAAGGCACUGGGUUUGAGUAAUGCAUAUAAAUAAAUAAAAGGUUCAUUAACUACUAAAAUUUUUUUUAAAAAAUAUACACUGGAUUAAAGAUGAUAUAGUAAAUUUCAAAACACUCUAAAUAUUUGCUAAGCCUAGAAGAGCCUCUUCUAAAGUCAUUUUUAUUUUCAUCUACUUUAAACAAAAAAAUAAGACCAAAGUCACAUAUAAAGAGAAAACAGAAAAAGCCAUUGACACAUCUUCCAGUGUAAAAUCAAAAUGCUAAGGCAGGAGCUAGAGUUGUAGUUUAGUGUAGAGCACUUGCCUACCGUGUGUGAGACACUAGGUUUGAUUCUCAACACUGCAUAUAAAAAAAUAAAAUAAAGUACAUUGACAACUAAAAAAAUAUAUUUAAAAAGUACUAAAGCAAAUAAAUGGAGAAAUAUCUAAGAACUAAUUUGUUCUUAGAAAACACUAUAAGAUCUUACAAUGUUUAUAGGGGAAUUGCAGGUAAUCCACAAUACUUAGUUACAUACUUUGUUUUUUGGAACUAUUGUUAAAUUAUGGUAACUGUAGCAUUUUUAGUUCAGCAGCAACUGGAAUACUAAUUGUUUGGGGAUUUGAUCACCAAACAGCAGAACAGUGUAGAAUAUAGUUUUACUUAAGAGAUUACUGCUCAAUUUAUGAGUAGUUGCUAGCAAAUAAAAUUACUUAAUUUUUAUAUGCUAUACUCUUAAGCAUAAGUAUGCACAUCAAUAUAUAGUUUCUUUAACAUUGCUGUAUAUUGUUGGGCUGGGGUUGUGGCUCAGCGGUAGAAUGCUCGCCUAGCACAUGCUAGGCCCUGUGUUUGAUCCUCAACACCACAUAUAAUAAAUAAAAUAAAGGUAUUGUGUCCAACUACAACUAAAAAAUAAAUAUUUUUUAAAAACAUUGCUGUAUAUUAAGAUAAUUCAUUAGGGUUAUGGAGUAUAACUCAGUAGUAGAGUGUGUGUAUGCCUAGCAGGUGUAAGGCCCUGGGUGUUCAAUCCUCAGUGUCUCCCCAAUACUGUCCAAAAAAAAAAGACAAUUCGUUUUUUUAUCAUAGUAGAGCUCUGAUUAAUAGCUUAAAUGAAAGUAAGCUUCCCCACAAGAAACCCAGUGACUUGCAUAAUGACAAACUGAACAAGUUGGAAAUGUUUCUAAUUUUAACUUAAUUUUAUUAAUACAAAUAAAUAACAAAUUAAAUAAAAUUUAGCAAGUAUUAAAUCUUUAGAUGUCAGACAUUUUGCCACACAUACAAUGUUUUUGAAAUAACAAUGCAUAUUUUCUAUUUUAUGUACCUUUAAGAAAGCAAUGAUCUUUGAAUGUCUAUCAGUGUUAAUUUUUUUUUUAUUAAAUAUCCUUUCAGAGCCUAAACAGUUGGCUUUUGUUGUUGUUGUUCUGAAAAGUCCUGUUUCUUGACAAAUUUUCUGGAAUUAUAUUUGUUUUCUUGAUGAGAAAAAAAAAGUAUUCUUAGUCCUUUGGCACCUUUUUCUCUUACCCUGUGUCCAAUACAGCUAUCUUUCAAGUCAUCUUUCCUAUUUAGUGAGGCCACAAUAAACCAAGGAGUGUGCAUGCAUGUCCUUAUUUCUUACAGGUUUCCCAGCUACCUGGUAGUGGAAUUGCUACAGAAGUCAUAUACCUAGUAAGGUGUCAAGUAACCAUAGACUUUUGUAGCAUUUUUACCUCCCAAUAUUUAUCGACAUAAAAAUCUGUCAUCAUACAAUUGAGUACUAUUCAUAUAAAGAGGUUGACCCUUUAGUAAAAAUCACACAAAGAGGUUAAUGUUUGUUUUUUAUUGAUAUAAGAUGGUUCUUCCAGUUGCACAUUUUGCUCGGCACCUCAUACUUGCUCUAAUCUCUGAAAGUGAACAAUUAUCCUGGCAAUAAAAUCUUUGUUAUUAACCAAAGAACUGUAAGCAUGUUGAAUCAACAUAGGAUGAGAAAUGUGAGACAGGUGCCUAUUGUUUGUGCUUGGAGAACAGUCUGAUAAGCAAUACUGGGCUUCUUGAACACUUGAAUCUCUUCCCAAGUGUGGUCACUUAAUGCCCACAUUGCGAAUAGGAUGAAGUUGAGGGGCAGAAGGAAUCAUCCAAACGUGUUAAAGAUAGAUGUCCUAUAGUUUCACACGGCAUAAAGUGUUUAUCAUAAGAUAUAAACUUCCGAUUGGUUUCCAAGAAAAGUAACACCAUUAGUUUGUUAUUAGUACUGUUAUGGUGGUAAUGAUUUGUGUCUGAGAAACAAUAAUAAAGAUAAAUAUAAUGCUCUCUUUUUGAGCUUGCCUUCUAGGAAAAAUCAUCCUAUGAAUCAAAGUCAAAGGAAACUGAGGAAAUCACUAUAAGAAGAAAAAAAAAAGUGCUGCGGACUGGGUCUUCUAAUUUAAGCCAAUCUUCUGAUUUAGAAAAAGACAUGGGUUAAAUGAUCUGACCAGUUAAUAGUUGACAUAGUUGUGUAUUACAAUGGUUAUAGAGUUUUCUGACAGUCUCUUAAUGUGUUAGAAUUUUUUUUUUUUUCAAAUACUCCAUUUUGGGGGUCAAUGUGACUUCUACACUAUCACAAUAUCAGCACUAAUGAGAAUAAUACAUGCUUUUGCAAGUUAACCUCCCACUUUAAAAUCUGAUAUUACCUGUAAUUCCUGAUGACAUAUGUAUUCAACAAAAAACUGGACCAGUGAAUUGUAGAAACUGAAAAUUUGGUCACAAAUGUUGCAUCUAUUAAUAUUUAUUUAUUUGAUACUGAGGCACUUUACCAUACUGAGUCACAUCCCCAGUCCUUUUAAUUUAUUUUGAGACAGGGUCUCACUAAGGCUAUUCUAAGAGGAGAGAGAAGAGAGUUGCUAAGGCUAUUCUUCAGCCCAAGAUUCUCCUUCCUCAGCCUCCCAAAUCUCUGGGAUUACAAACAUGGAACACCAUGCCUGACUGUCUCUAUUAAUAAUUAAAUGAAGAAUUUGUUAGCUACAUUUUAGUGGUAAUAAAAUGAUACCAUUUGUCUGCAGCAUCCAAAGAAUACAUCAAAUUUCUUAUGUUCCGCAAUCUGUAUAUGGGGUAAAAAUGGGAGCUCAUAACCCACUUGAAUCAAAGUGUGAAAUAUGAUAUAUCAAGAACUAUGUAAUGUUUUGAACAGCCAACAAUA